rnacentral:tRNA from 13 species
UGGGGACGUAGCUCAAUUGAUAGAGCACCUGAUUUGCACUCAGGAGGUCGUGGGUUUGACCCCCAUCGUCUCCACCAU